UUUAUAAUCAUGCAUUUAGAGGCACUUAUACAAACAUGUCAGAUGCACAAAGAAGAGUUGAAGACACUUUUUUUAAGAGAUAGACCUUUACUACGGUACUGAAUGCUAAGGAAACCAACCAAAGACAGGUUGAGUGCUGCUGAGAUAAAAACUUUUAAAGGAAGACUCGGCAACCCUCGACCUCAUCGUACUCUAAAAACCAGGGGGUUGACAGAAGAGAGCAAUAAUAAGUGACUAGAUCUGAAAAAACCUUCUGGAGACAUCCUCUGGAUUGCUUGCAGUUACGAAGAGGAAUGUCCCGGUUUGCUGGGCAUUGGAGAG